rnacentral:lncRNA from 1 species
GUCGGUUCUAUGUCUUCGAGAAGGCCCAUCGCCUCGACCCCACCUCCAGCGGCGCUGGAGUUCUCCUUGUCGGCCGACGACUACAGGCUCAUGGAGGAGGUCUGCUUCGGCGCCAAGAGAAAAUGUGUUGUGGAUCUGUCCAGCUGGUCUGUGUUAAGCUGGGACGAUCCAUCCAGUUAUAGCUUUUUAUAUUUUAUUACAGUGAAAAUGGCAGUACUAGCUUUAGUAGCAUCAAGGUUUAGGUUUCUUCUUUUACUGGAGUUACCAAUGGCUGACAGUUUUUUAUAUACUCAAUCCUGCAAUUUCUUUUAUAGAUUUUCAGCUUGAUCCACUGUUUUGGUUAGUGAUUUGCAUUACCCUUGCCGCUGCUCUGCUCUGUACAUACGUAACCUAGGACUCUUAUCUAUAUUAUUAUCAGGGGCACUCUUUGGUUGCUAUUCUACAAUUAUUAGUUUCACAAAACUGCUUGUAACUCCUCUGGAAGCACUGCAGUAUGCGGUCUCUAGGAUGGUUUUUCCUCACUGCAUAUGCUGCUGUGAUUUAAUUUGACUUGGUAACAAUGGCUGUCAAACAAUCAAACACAAGCAAAUUAAAUGCUUUCUAGUAUUCCAUAUAGUGCUUGCUAUGCAGUGUAUAGUUUUGAAUGGUUCAAUUAUACAGAGCUCUCCAUGCCCAAGAUGAGAAAUUCUCGCUAUCAAUCUGUUUGAUGCUAUCAUUUUCUUACCAUCAUAUUAUAUGUGCCGCUCAAUAUUCAACCUGCUUUAAUCUAUACUAGUAUUCAGUUUGUACCUCAUCUAGCACAUUGCCUAAAAUAGCCACUAUUCUUUCAAUGAAUUUAGUAGAAUUACCUUGUGAUUCCUCUAUUUGCUUCAUAUUAUGGUUGCUCUACUGCUAGUGUCUUACUAGCUUGUUCUGGCUCAUCGUGUUCCUGCUUGUAGUUGAUUUUUCAUGUGCCUAAGUAUAUGUGUAGUACACGUGCAAGCAAACAUUUGAACUCAAACCCAUCCAUCCUUUGUACUGUACUAUAUAGACUGAAGAAGUAAUGUAGAUGAAUAUACAUGCAGUUUUAUUAAGUGAAUGCCAGGCAAACAACUAACUUGCUCUUGUCCAUGUAGAUGGAGUAGGAGGAUGAGCAGCAGCAACAAAUGAGCCUGAUGGUGAAGAAGCACCUGAUGACCAGAACUCCUUCAAGUGCUCUUUAGUCGUUCCAAAACAAGGUCUUGAUGUCCCCCUCACAGAAAAUGUUCAUAUAUGUUCCUGCAUGAUGUGUGUGUGCAUGUUGGAUGGUCACAUUCUAGUGUACUAGCUAGCUAGUAAGCUUGUUUUGCUACCGGAUGAUUGAAUGUCAUCUCAGUUUGUACCUCAUCUAGCUCACCACCUCAAAUUGCCACUGUUUUGUUAGUGUUUCCUUAUUGGUUGGCUAAACAUAUUUGUUUGUUUGAUUUGGAGCAUUAGACGCUCUCCAUCGAUGAUUGCCUAAUUUUAUUCAUCGUCUCCACAAUAUAUUCAUUUGAUUGUCUGCUACAUCUGCACUUAAAUACUCAUAAUGCUUUUGUCCGGCCUUUGUUCAAUUGGACUGACCAUAUCUCUGGUUAAAAUUGUGGUCUUGAUCUUUUCUUUAAACCUGGGACAUCAUGCAUAACUAGCUCUUUCUUUUCAGUCUAAACCUGAGACCUUUUUUUGUUUUCAGUCACACUGCUGUUUUGUUGUGCUUGAUAAACCUGAGACUUCUUUCGAUUGUAAUAUCAAAGUUGUUUGGUUCUGGCCUCAGCAGUAGUGUACUAAUAUUGAAGUUGUUCACUCCUUUACAUGAGCUCCAGGCCUAAUUUUUU